rnacentral:rRNA from 1 species
UUUCCUCCUUUCUGCAUCCCCCGGGAAUCUUCCACAAUGGGCGACCUCCUUCUUUCUCCCCUCCUCUUUUUUUAAUAAUGUCUUCGGAUCGUAAAACCCUGUUGUUAGAGAAGAAAGUGCGUGAGAGUAACUGUUCACGUUUCGACGGUAUCUAACCAGAAAGCCACGGCUAACUACGUGCCAGCAGCCGCGGUAAUACGUAGGUGGCAAGCGUUAUCCGGAUUUAUUGGGCGUAAAGGGAACGCAGGCGGUCUUUUAAGUCUGAUGUGAAAGCCUUCGGCUUAACCGGAGUAGUGCAUUGGAAA